rnacentral:rRNA from 1 species
UACAGAGGGGGCAAGCGUUGUUCGGAAUUACUGGGCGUAAAGGGCGCGUAGGCGGCCCGCUAAGUCGAACGUGAAAUCCCCGAGCCCAACUCGGGAACUGCGUCCGAUACUGGUGGGCUUGAAUCCGGGAGAGGGAUGCGGAAUUCCAGGUGUAGCGGUGAAAUGCGUAGAUAUCUGGAGGAACACCGGUGGCGAAGGCGGCAUCCUGGACCGGCACUGACGCUGAGGCGCGAAAGCGUGGGGAGCGAACAGG